rnacentral:piRNA from 1 species
UACAGGUCUGGAUUAGCGUGUGUUUGAUUGU